rnacentral:rRNA from 1 species
UGGGGGAUUUUGCACAAUGGGCGCAAGCCUGAUGCAGCGACGCCGCGUGAGGGAUGAAGGCCUUCGGGUUGUAAACCUCUUUCGCUGGGUUGAAAGGCCAUGCUUUGGGUGUGGUUGAUUUGAACUGGUAAAGAAGUACCGGCUAACUACGUGCCAGCAGCCGCGGUAAUACGUAGGGUACUAGCGUUGUCCGGAUUUAUUGGGCGUAAAGGGCUUGUAGGUGGUUUGUCGCGUCUGUCGUGAAAUCCUGUGGCUUAACCAUGGGCUUGCGGUGGGUACGGGCAGGCUUGAGUGCGGUAGGGGAGACUGGAAUUCCUGGUGUAGCGGUGGAAUGCGCAGAUAUCAGGAGGAACUCCGGUGGCGAAGGCGGGUCUCUGGGCCGUUACUGACACUGAGGAGCGAAAGCGUGGGGAGCGAACAGG